UCCCGGUUCUCCUCUGUAUCGGGUGUGCAUUCGAGGAGGCACAUUUACAGAUGCAAGCCUGCACUUGUGUAUGUGGACCCAUUGACGAGUGUGCUGGACGUCACUUUCCAGGCUGUCUUCAGUUACCUAUCUCACGAGCUGCAAUUCUGCCUGACCCCAUUUUAUUAAGAAAAAGCCAAAAACAAACAAACCAAAAAACCAAAAAAAAAAAAAAAAAAAAAAAAAAAAAAAGAAAAAGAAAACCAAAAACCAAACAAAAAAAUCCCCAACACACACACACAAAAUCAACCAAACAACCAAACACCGCUCCCUCUUCCCCAGCAAUCCCCCCAUCCCAGUCCCUAGUCCAGCUUAUUAAGUCAUUGAAUUACUUUCUUAGAUUUCUCUGACAGUCAGGUCUUUGAGGAGGAGUAAUUUUUAGCCUCCAGGUCCCAGGUUUAGCAGUCGUCUUUAGACUCUAGAGCAGCUGAUACUUUGGAGCAGGUUUUAAGCAGUACUCUUGUUGAGGAGGGGUUGGUUUGUCUCGGCUGUGUUCACGCCGUCCCUGCCUUUGAACCUUCGCUCGCCCCUCUAUCCUUUUCUACUUUCCUGGCCAACAUCUGGUUUACUGGUGUACUGCUACGUGUGUGAUGAACAUGGAGUUAGCUUGUUGCACAUGGCACCCUUGGUACCCUUGGUAUCUUACUCAUAGAGUCACAGACGGAGAGCUAUCUUAGUGCUAUUUCUGGACCACGUGACUUCUAGUCUUGGAAAAUAUUAUUUUAAUUUAAAACUCUCCUCUUAUAAGCUGCUGAUCAAAACAUAUGCAAAAAAAAUCACAUUUGUUUUCUUCUCUAUUCCUUAGGGAUUUUCGGUAGAAAAACACUUGAUUUUGCCAAUUUUAUUUCAGCUUUCUAAGCUUGAACUAAUUCACAACUUUGAAGAGUGGCUUUUGUUGAUCAUAGCUCUUUUCCUGAUAACAGAGUAAGGAAUCUCAGUCUCACCCUUGGGCUGGUCACUUCCCCAUCUCUCCCUAGCCUCUGCUUAAUGAGCCUCUCCUCUGUGAAGGGCUGAUGCUUAUCCGAAUAACCCCAGGACCCAAAGCGCUGACUCUCUGGUCUUUAUUGAAACAGCGUUAUCACCAGUUCCAACUGGAGAAUUCUGCAUUACUGGCUGUGCCUUUCUCGGUUGUAAAUUCUUCCAGUGGUAUGUGGGUCAGAACAGUGAGCCUCACAGAGAUGGGACUGGCAAACUUUACCCAGGGCUCUGCUGUGUGUCUUAUAUUAGGCCCUGAAAGUGGUGGAAGCCUUCGGGAUGUCUUGAAAAGUAUAGCUAUAUGUAUCACAAUAAUACUUUUACAAUUAGGGAUUAGUUUGAGAGAGCAGAUGGCCAUAAAGCACUGGUUGUCAACCUUUCUAAUACUGCAACUCAUUACAGUUCCUCUUGCUGUGGUGACCCCAACCAUAAAUUUUUCCAUUGCUACUUCCCAACUGUAAUAUUGUCACUGCUGUGAAUCAUAAUGUAAUUAUCUGAUAUGAGACCAAGGAGUCCUAAUAGGAGAUAAGUCUAAAAUUAUUAUUUGAGCGUGAACAUUAAAGUUGU
rnacentral:lncRNA from 1 species